rnacentral:rRNA from 1 species
UACGGAGGGAGCUAGCGUUGUUCGGAAUUACUGGGCGUAAAGCGCACGUAGGCGGCUUUGUAAGUUAGAGGUGAAAGCCUGGGGCUCAACCCCAGAAUUGCCUUUAAGACUGCAUCGCUUGAAUCCGGGAGAGGUGAGUGGAAUUCCGAGUGUAGAGGUGAAAUUCGUAGAUAUUCGGAAGAACACCAGUGGCGAAGGCGGCUCACUGGACCGGUAUUGACGCUGAGGUGCGAAAGCGUGAGGAGCAAACAGG